GAUGUGUCCCUUACCAAGGGUCCUAGAGUGUGAGACAACUGCCUUGUGGGGACUGAGGGACACAAGAUUUGUUCACAUCCCACUUUGUGACUUCAGAUCCCCUGACUCCUGUUUCUGAAGCUGCCUCUGAAAGGGUCUGUGUUCCUAUGAGCAUCCUGAGAGGAGGUGGGCACCCUGGCCCAGCCCUGCCCCCCACGUCCCCUCCUCACCCUGACCUGUGUUCUCUUCCCUGAUCCUCUUUCCAGUUCUUGCAAGUGGGAGCUGGGCUGGGGGGGAGGCCACUGGACACCAUCUCCAUCCUUAUCUUAACUUGACUGCCCUGAGUAAUGACUUCCUGUUGAAUUUGCUUUUUCUAAUUGGUGCCAUGAGGAGUUGAGGGGAUAAUAAAUGAGAGAUUUCCUUAGUUUGAAAGAGGAAAUAAAUGGAAGGAUUGAGAACCUUCCAGAAUCCACAUGUGUGCUGUGCUGCCUCUGUUCCAUGUGAGACGUGAGCAGAGAAACAUGGUCGGGGCCUGUGCCCGGUGAGAGCUCAGGGCAUCAUGGGCUUCAGUGUGGACACUCCCAGGCUCGGCCGUCUUUUCCCCUGUCCCUUUGUCCUUGUCCCUUCAGGAGAACUUUCUUCCACCAGGCCCUGUGAUCUCAGGGACUGAGAAGUCCCCUGGGCCUUGUCCUGUAUUCAGGAGCUUGGUUAGCAAGGGCCUCCUGUCACCAGGUAGCCUACGCUCCAGCCUUGGUCCCAUCAGUAGUCCCUUUAUUCUGUGUUUGUAUUUGGCCUUUUUAGAUUUUUUUUUUAAAUACGGACUUUUCAUUUACAUGUGUGAAAUUACAGUCUCAUUUUGCUCUGGGUGUCCCUCGUCUGCCACAGCCACCAGAGUCAUUUGCCUGUCAUUGUUCCCACAUGUCCGGGGGUCCCUGCUCACAGAUUCUCAGUGGUAUCAAGAGAUCCAUUUUCAGCCUCAUCCAGCUCUUGCCCUCCUUCCAGAGAUGUUNUUUUUUUUUUUUUUUUUUUUUUUUUUUUUUUUUUUUUCGACUUUUCAGGGCCACAGCCAGGGCACAUGGAGGUUCCCAGGCUAGGUGUCUAAUCAGAGCUACAGCUGCUGGCCUACACCACAGCCAUAGGAACGUGGGAUCUGAGCCACACCUGUAAACUACACCACAACACACAGCAGUGCUGGAUCCUUAACGCAGUGAGCAUGGCCAGGGAUCGAACCCGCCACCUCAUGGUUCCUAGUCGGGUUCAUUUCCACUGUGCCACCACGGGAACGCCUGGAUGCUUCUUUCUAACUUUUCCCCAUCCUUUUGUGGGAACGAGAUUCUGGAAGUAGCAACGAGGAGGGACCCAGUGGUUUUCCAUCUUGACCUCAUUCUUGCUGGAUCUGGAUCUUCUCUGCAGCCUGCCCCCUCCUCUGCCCUGAGCUCUCCUCAGCCCAGUGCCGGCUCCAAUCCAAGCCCAUGCAUUUCGAAAGCAGAGUCUGAUAGACUCACAGCAGCGGGAAUCUAGGGCCAGAAGCACAGGAGCAUCUUUCCUGGGGAGAGAAAGAGCGCUGUGUGGGGUGAGCAGACGGACUGGUCUGGCAGGGAGGGGACAUCAGCCCUUGUGAGGAAAGGACAGGCGGCCCUGAUGUCACCGGGAAUGGACAUUGUGCUGGAGCUGCCACCAGACAGCACGUGGCCCGAGGGCAUGUUAGUAAAAGUACUGUCCCUAGAAGAGGGAGGGGCUGUGCACUGAUCCAUCAUUCAACUCUGUUGAACGGAUAUUUGUUGUGCGCCAGACACAGGACACACGCUUUCGGCAUCUGGGAGACCUCAGGGACGUCGCCAGAGACCAAACUUGUCGGCGGUGUGGAGUCUCUGUCCUGGGGGAGGGGCAGAGUGGACACUAUAUGCCUCGUCAGGGAGGGACGUGUCACAUCGGAGGUGGGAGGGGCCUUGGGGAAGGUGACCCCGAGUAGAAGUGUGUGGGGACAGGGUGGGGGGUGAGUGUGGGCCUUCCUGGGAGGGUGACCUUUGAGUCCAGAUGGGAAGGACCCGAAGGAAAUGCCCGCGAGGCUGUGUGGGGACGUUCUCUGCAGGCAGGGGACCCUCCUGGGCGAAGGCACAAGGACAGGAGGGGGUAUGUGUUCAGGGAGGAGCCAGGAGGCCGGCGAGGCUGCCGGAGGGAGGCGCUGGGAUGAGACCCACUGUCCGGCCAGAUCGUGUGGCCUCCCCAUGUGAGAAGGGUUUUGAUUUUGUCUCAGAUGUGGCGUUUGUAAGAUGGUUUGACCGAAGAUCAGGCUGGAGUGAGUGCUCUCUAGAAGCAUGGGUCUGGCUGCUGCACAGACUCAGGAGGGGAAGGUGAGCGACACCGUCAAGGAAGGAAACAGAGCAGCAUCCAGGCUGGAGGAGAUGCUGCUGGUCGGGGCGAGAGCAGGGAAUGGACGAGUCAGUGACUGGAGUCUCGACACGUUCUCAGGAUGGAUUUAGAGCAUUUCCUCCUGGAUCAAAUCUGGACUGUGAGAAAGCAGAAAGAAGGAUGGCACCCCAAACUUGAGACUGUGCAAGUUGGCCUGUGGAAAUGGGGAGAUUCUGGGAGUUCCCGUCGUAGCGCAGUGGUUAACGAAUCCAACUAGGAACGAUGAGCUUUUGGGUUUGAUCCCUGGCCUUGCUCAGUGGGUUAAAGAUCGGGCAUUGCUGUGAGCUGUGGUGUAGGUUGCAGACGUGGCUCAGAUCCCGUGUUGCUGUGGCUCUGGCAUAGGCCAAUGGCAACAGCUCUGAUUAGACCCCUAGCCUGGGAACCUCUAUAUGC
rnacentral:lncRNA from 1 species